GAAAUGCGAUAAGUAGUGUGAAUUGCAGAAUUCAGUGAAUCAUCGAAUCUUUGAACGCACAUUGCGCCCCUUGGUAUUCCAUGGGGCAUGCCUGUUCGAGCGUCAUUUGUACCCUCAAGCUAUGCUUGGUGUUGGGUGUUUGUCUCUGCUUUUUGCAGCUAGACUCGCCUUAAAGUAAUUGGCAGCCGGUAUUCUGGUAUAAUGUGCAGCACAAUUUGCGCAUUAGCCUAGGUAUAUCAGCGUCCAUCAAGUUUCUAUCAACACUUUUGACCUCGGAUCAGGUAGGGAUACCCGCUGAACUUAA
rnacentral:misc_RNA from 1 species